UUUGCCAAGGGGCGUCGCAACGGAGCUUUUUUCCGCCAGGCUUGGCGGAUAUCCAGCGCGAAAACGAGGCUCGCGCCUG
rnacentral:ncRNA from 2 species